GAUGAACGCUGGCGGCGUGCCUAAUACAUGCAAGUCGAGCGAACAGAUGAGAAGCUUGCUUCUCUGAUGUUAGCGGCGGACGGGUGAGUAACACGUGGGUAACCUACCUAUAAGACUGGGAUAACUCCGGGAAACCGGGGCUAAUACCGGAUAAUAUUUUGAACCGCAUGGUUCAAUAGUGAAAGACGGUUUCGGCUGUCACUUAUAGAUGGACCCGCGCCGUAUUAGCUAGUUGGUAAGGUAACGGCUUACCAAGGCGACGAUACGUAGCCGACCUGAGAGGGUGAUCGGCCACACUGGAACUGAGACACGGUCCAGACUCCUACGGGAGGCAGCAGUAGGGAAUCUUCCGCAAUGGGCGAAAGCCUGACGGAGCAACGCCGCGUGAGUGAUGAAGGUCUUCGGAUCGUAAAACUCUGUUGUUAGGGAAGAACAAAUUUGUUAGUAACUGAACAAGUCUUGACGGUACCUAACCAGAAAGCCACGGCUAACUACGUGCCAGCAGCCGCGGUAAUACGUAGGUGGCAAGCGUUAUCCGGAAUUAUUGGGCGUAAAGCGCGCGUAGGCGGUUUCUUAAGUCUGAUGUGAAAGCCCACGGCUCAACCGUGGAGGGUCAUUGGAAACUGGGAAACUUGAGUGCAGAAGAGGAGAGUGGAAUUCCAUGUGUAGCGGUGAAAUGCGCAGAGAUAUGGAGGAACACCAGUGGCGAAGGCGGCUCUCUGGUCUGUAACUGACGCUGAUGUGCGAAAGCGUGGGGAUCAAACAGGAUUAGAUACCCUGGUAGUCCACGCCGUAAACGAUGAGUGCUAAGUGUUAGGGGGUUUCCGCCCCUUAGUGCUGCAGCUAACGCAUUAAGCACUCCGCCUGGGGAGUACGACCGCAAGGUUGAAACUCAAAGGAAUUGACGG
rnacentral:rRNA from 1 species